UAGCAGGGUGAACAAGGUAGUUAUUCAAUUGAUUGAUUUGAGGUUGUAAACAAUUAUGAGAAAGCGUUAAAUCUAUGGCAGGUUAUCAUGAUUAUAGAGAUAUAGAAUACUUAGGUUUUCAAUCCUAGAACUCGAAUUCUUAUGAGAAAGUAUUCCAGCUUUUGUGUAUUCCAACUUCCGCUGUGAAUCAAAUCUAUUGACUAAGUCCAAUAUCUCAGCUAUUGCUUGUUAAUACGAAUUGAACGUCGAUCGAUGCUAUUGAGUUAGCGUUGAUCGAUGUUUACUUAGACAAGCUUUACCGAGUUGAUCGAUAGGUUUACUAGUCUUAACUAAAUUAGCUUUCGCUUGUUUCUAGCAAUCCUAGCUCAAGGGAAUCUAUUCUGGUGCAGAACCUACCGUUGUAGUUGUUCACAAUCCUAAAAUCAGGGUUUUAG
rnacentral:lncRNA from 1 species